UUUACAAUGUUCUUGUGUGCCAUU
rnacentral:piRNA from 1 species